rnacentral:rRNA from 1 species
CAGCAGCCGCGGGAAUACGUAGGGUGCAAGCGUUAAUCGGAAUUACUGGGCGUAAAGCGUGCGCAGGCGGUUAUAUAAGACAGAUGUGAAAUCCCCGGGCUCAACCUGGGAACUGCAUUUGUGACUGUAUAGCUAGAGUACGGCAGAGGGGGAUGGAAUUCCGCGUGUAGCAGUGAAAUGCGUAGAUAUGCGGAGGAACACCGAUGGCGAAGGCAAUCCCCUGGGCCUGUACUGACGCUCAUGCACGAAAGCGUGGGGAGCAAACAGGAUUAGAUACCCGCGUAGUCCCUGUCUCUUAUAA